ensembl:snoRNA SNORA71 Small nucleolar RNA SNORA71
GCCUGUAUCGAAAGGUGGUGGCAGCGUCUUCGUAGCUGCUGUCAUUUAUUACUACAGGCAGAUCAAAUAGAGAGCUUUCCCGUGUUUGAAGGAUCACUCGUUCCUGUCAGACCCUGAUGCUCUCUGACA